UUUUUUUUUUUUCAAAAUCAGCAUCUAAAAUGAGUUUUGAUUUUCAAGAAAAAUAUCAUAACAAGUUUCUUUGAGUUGUUAGAAUUGAUAUUUCUGUCAAAGGAAUUGCAUGAAAAUUGUUUGCUUUUGGGGGAUGAAUGAAAUUUCUCGAAUCGGGUUGGCAUCCGCAUAUCCUAGAAAUUUGCGAAUUGCCCUCGUUGGUCAAACAGAUCAGGCGGCGGGUGUGGACUGUUCUACUGACAGAAUCCUUCUGUGGACCGUAACCACGGAUUACAAAGAUCAAUUGACGCUCUGGUUAGGUAGAUUGGGACCAAGGCUGCAAAUGCAAUGGCCAGUUGUGCCGUGGAAGGAGGCUGCCCCAGCGAUUACAUAGCCAUUGUCAUAUCCCUCCUGUCCUUCAUAUUGCUUCUCUCACGAGCAACUUUACCCUUUCUGGUUCGCAAAGUCCCUUGUCCGAAAGGCAGUCGCUUUUGGGUUCCAGCAAUUCAAGUUUUUGCGAGCUUCAACCUUCUGUUAUCAAUUGUCAUGUAUCUCAAGUUUCUGAAGUUUGAAAAGAGGCAUUGGUGGCAAUCUUGCUAUGUUUGGGCAGUCUGGAUUGAAGGUCCCUUUGGAUUUGGUUUGCUGCUAAGCUGUCGCAUUGCUCAGGCCUUCAAACUUUAUUACAUAUUUGUUAAGCGGCGUUUAGCACCUAUCAGAUCUUAUGUCUUUCUGCCAUUGAUUCUUUUGCCAUGGAUCGCUGCUGCUGCAUUGAUACAUACAAAGAAGCCUUUAAAUGCCCAAUGCCACAUGGAGGCUCAGUGGAUCAUCCCUGUUAUGUGCCUACACACUGCAUAUGUCAUUGCUUUGGUUGGUUUUACAGGGGCCGUUCGUCAUAUUGAGUUCAGGUUUCACGAACUGAAAGAACUAUGGCGGGGAAUACUUGUCUCCACUGCUUCUAUUGUCAUUUGGGUUGCUUCUUAUAUUUUGAAUGAAAUCCAUGAGGAAAUAUCUUGGCUUCAAGUUGCAACCAGAUUUCUUUUACUAAUUACGGCCAGUAUUCUCGUGUUGGCUUUUUUCUCAGUCUCAAGUUCUCAACCUUUACUCUCUCAGAUGAGCAUGAGAAGGAGGGAACGCCCUGAAUUUGAGACAAUGGGUCGGGCGUUGGGUAUACCUGAUAGUGGACUAUUAUCACGAAGAGAAUCAACUGCAGCCAUAGAUCCUAAUGAACCUCUUGAUAAGCUUCUUCUCAACAAGAGAUUCCGUCAAUCCUUCAUGGCAUUUGCAGACAGUUGUUUGGCUGGGGAGAGUGUUCAUUUCUUUGAUGAUGUGCACGAGCUUAGUAAAAUACCUGUGGAUGAUCCAAUAAGAAGAAUCUACAUGGUGCGGCACAUUAUAGAGAGGUACAUAGUUGCAGGGGCUCCCAUGGAGGUGAACAUCUCUCAUAGAAGCCGACAAGAAAUUAUGACAAGUCUUGAUUUAACAUGCCCUGAUCUUUUCAAUAAUGCAGUUAACGAGCUGGUGCAGUUGAUGAAGAUGAACCUAGCAAGAGAUUACUGGUCAUCCAUUUUCUUCAUGAAGUUUAAAGAAGAAGCUGCCAUGAGAUCCAAUGCCCAUGAGCUGGAACAAGCGAUGGAUUGGAACUUCUCUCCUAGGUUGAGCGCUGUCCAUGGUGUUGAUGAUCCCUUCCACCAAGAACAUCCUCUGAAGGCCUCCGGCUGCAAUAGUGAUGAUUCCGACCCUCAAUGAAGUAAUUGCGCCUAAUAUUACUGGUUAUGUAUGUCCAGUUACAAAGGUAGCACCUCCUCUGUAUAAUGAAGCUAUUUUCUUUGUUUCCUACCACUGCCUGGAUGGUGGGAACUAAUGUUUUAGAAGUAUAAGGAAGAAGAAGGAACUAAUGAAGGAAGGAAAGCUAACCAAGGAAGCAAGAGGAGGAUGGCGAAUCUUGAGAGGAAUGAAUAAAAGUAUGGGAUGACAAAUCGGCGACCUCUCAUUACAGUGAUUUGAUCAUACAAGUGAACAAAAAUUAUAGAACCCGUAACUUGGUUUUGUAUAAGCAAUGCUGGAAAGGUUCAUGGUUGGAGUAUUAUUAUUGCAGUAUGGAUUUCCCUUUUUCUUUUGAGAGUUUGUGUGGCAGACCUAAAAUAUAGAAUCUCGUGGAUAUGAUGUGAAACUAAAAUAAUAUUUUUAUACAGGAUUUGAGGGUGUGCUUCUGACUUGCAUUUGAACUUUUCCCAUGAACACAUGUGCAGUGUCCAUGGCUUUUCAAACAAGAUAAGGCUUCGGGCUUCAGUGGUGUAUGUACAAACAUCUGAAUGAUCGUUGUCAAGCUCAACUCUGGAUUAUUAUGGACCCGUGAACCCAGUCAUUAAAGAUUCCUGUUCCAGUUCAGAGUUCAGAGUCCAAGUGAAGUUUCCUCUCAUUUCUCUGCUUUAAUGGGCUUGUUUGUUUUCCAUUUCAUUUUAAUGUACACUCACAUCCCCAAUUUUGAUUUUUUUUUUUUUUUAAUCUUUUUGCGGUUUGUAGACAUGCUCACUCUUAUCCAAAAUAGUAAAGAGACUGAAUGGUCGAGUUCUCUCAAAAA